rnacentral:lncRNA from 1 species
ACUUGCAAUCAUUCAGGGCAAAAACAGCAGCUGCCUGAUAGAAGACUGUUUCAAGAUGUUAUGGAAUACAUGUUUGUGUCUCUGCAAAAUGCAGAUGUUGGAGCCGUGGAGGUGGGUGGCUUUGGGAGAUAAACCCUUCGGAGGCAGCUCAUGGCCUUUCAAAUUCAUGCAUUACACAUGCAGAUUUCAGGGCUCCAUCCCAGACCUCAGGAGUCGGCAUCAGGCGCAUGGAAGUUUGAGGAGUGCUGAGGUUGAGGGAUGAAGUCACACAAGGAAGUUCCCGCCUUGAACACAAGACAGGUGCUACAGCAACGCGACUCCCGCCCUGCUGGUGUUGGGGGCACCUUGGAGGAAGCUGGCUGCACACUGGGAUCUACUGCAUGCAGCUACCUGGUGAGCUUUGAAAAAUCCCACACCAAUACAAUCCGAUGGUGGAGGGGGUCCCAAGACCCAGAGCUCAGUGUUUAUAAAGCUCUCCAAGUGCUUGCAGUGGGCAUUCAGAACCGAGGGCCUCCGACUUAACCUGAACCUCCUCUCAGGUCCCUGUGGAGAAUGCAAAGAGCUCUCUUUUCUUCCUGUUAAGGAGUAGUUGUGUCUCUGCACACACAAAUAUGUAUAAUUAAGCAAGAACAACAUCCAGGCGCAGCCCUGACUGCAGUCUAUAGCCAGAUGACAGGUGUGCCUAAAGGUAAGGGAGCAAAGGCUUUCAGUCAAAAUUCUUUUUAGAGGCCAGGUGCGGUGGCUCACGCCUGUAAUCCCAGCACAUUGGGAGGCUGAGGCAGGCGGAUCACGAGGUGAGGAGUUUGAGACCAGCCUGGCCAACAUAGUGAAACCUUGUCUCUACUAAAAAUACAAAAAUUAGCCAGGCGUGGUGGCGUGCACCUGUAAUCCUAGCUACUCGGGAGGCUGAGGCAGGAAAAUGGCUUGAACCCAGGAGGUGGAGGUUGUGGUGAGCUGCGAUCGUGCCACUGCACUCCAGCCUGGGCAACAGAGCAAGACUCCAUCUCAAAAAAAAAAAAAAUCACUUACAAAAGCAAUCUGGUAAGUAGUUGUACCCAGAAACUGAGAGUCCACACAAAUGUGGUAGAUGAAGGGAAAAGCCAACGUUCCCAAUGCGGAACAAAGCCACGGAGCCGAACGCUAAACGCAGAGCGAAGUCACGCCAAUCCCCUGCAAAACCACGCGAGUGGUCCACUGGGAGCGGGACAGACUGAAAAAAGGGCAGCAUUUGAGUGAAGUCAGAUACAACCACGUGCCCUCUGGCAAACCGACAGGCGACUCAAAGUGGAGCUGGUGACGAUGAGACCAACACUACAAUCACCAGGUUGCACCACACAAAACUGCUUCUAUUCAACUGUUUUGACCUCAAAGCAUCCAUUUCAUAAGGCUCCAUUUUAUAACAUACCAAGGAAAAUAGCAACAUUUCUAAAUUUGAAUGUUUAUAAUGCAUAACUUUAAAUAUGAAUGUAUAACUACAUCAAUAAGUUACUUAAUGGCAGGCAUUUGAUGAGUCCACUUACAUCACUAGAGACUUUUAUAUCUAAAUGUGUUAUGUAAUUCAAAAGAAACCCUGCUUCCUGGGAAAACGGGAUUACCAUAUAAUCAGGGUUAAUUUCUGUGACUAUUUGGCACGUAUGAGGCCCACUUAAGAACAGAGGGCUGGGUGCGGUGGCUCACACCUGUAACCCCAGCAUUUUGGGAGGCUGCAGUGGGCAGGUCACCUGAGGCCAGAAGUUCGAGACCAGCCUGGCCCACAUGGCAAAACGCUGUCUCUACUAAAAAUAUAAAAAUUAGCUGGGCAUGGUGGUGAGCACCUGUAAUCCCAGCUACUUGGGAGGCUGAGACAGGAGAAUCACUUCAACCCAGGAGGCAGAGGUUGCAGUUAGCUGAGAUUGCACCACUGCACUCCAGCUUGGGUGAUAGAGCAAGACUCUGUUUCAAAAAAGUAAAAACUAAAAACAGAGAGAUACACCUGCUGCCUGCCGACCUGCAGGCAACACCAACAUCCCUUUUCUCUUCAGAUCUUUUCUCGGGCCAUUGGCCACAGUGCCGCCUCUACUGCAAAACAUGUACCCAGGAGGGAAAGGCAGGCAGCCUCCUAUUCCUUUCUGGAGAGAGGAGCAUGGGGCAGGGGGCUGUUGGAUUUCUGGGGAGGAAACUGCACAGAUGGAUGGAGGAACCCGCCUCACUCCCCUGCAUCUCCUGAAGAGGUGUCCGUGCCCUGCCAGCUGGGGAGUCAGUCCCACUGAAUCACUGCUGUUAAGGGGCUCAGCCCUGCAGGAGUGCCAGGAAGGGCUUCCGUUUCUUCUGCGAGUGUUGCUGAUAUGUAUGUGAAAAUCACACAAGGGCAAGGGCUUCACCCUGUGCGUCUAUUAAAACCAAGUGCAGCAUUG